AAGAAAGUCAAGAAGCAUGGUAAACAAGGGAAUCGGAUCAGCUUGACGCCAACAGGUCCUGCAGGAAAACAGAAUGAAGCAAGGAUUGAGGGCAACGGAAAUAUACUGCCAGAAAGUGGGACAGGGUCCAAUGAAGGUGUAACA